rnacentral:lncRNA from 10 species
ACCGCGCCUAGCUCGGCUUCUGCUUUUCCAGAAGCAGAACACUAGCAAUCUUAGCUAGGGGUGGCGGAGACUUAUCCCCCCAGGAAAACUGCUGCAAUGCCUAAAGCUCUAGUCCAGGCAUCUGCCCAGAGCAGAGCUUCUCCAUAGAUAGAGCCCCGGCUGCCACAGGAGCAUGGAAGUGACAACUCGUCCUGUGAUAAAAGGGCAUGGAUUCAGUUCGGCAGUUCACUGGUGCUAAGGCUGAACAUGCCCAGGGUCAUUAGUGGUGUGAGGUCAUUAGCAUGUUUAGCACUCUGCCGGCGACGGGGUUUUUCACCAGCCUCAGCAAAGGGGAAGCAGUGAAUUCCUGAGAGCUUUUCUUCCUGCCUUGGAUUUGUCAGAUCUGGGUCAGCCACUCCUUUCCCCCAAUUUAUCCUGCCAGCUUUUGUAUUUUUAGUACAGACGGGGUUUCACCAUGUUGGCCAGGCUGGUCUCGAACUCCUGACCUCAUGAUCCACCCGCCUUGACCUCCCAAUUGGUCAAACUCAAUUGACCUCAGGCCUCCCAGUUGGCCUCCCAAGAGGCCAAGCAAUCCUCUUGAUGGAUCUCCUCCUCCUCUUCCAUCUCAUCCUCAUCCUCUUCUUCUGUCCCAUCCAAUGAGUCAUCGUGUGCAGCCAUCAUAGCCUGCUGCAUGGCCAUGGUGGCACUGUCUGAGGACAGGGACUGCAGGUUGUCCAAGUUGAUGGAACCUGCGAGAGAAAGCAAGGGUCAGGACGA